rnacentral:miRNA from 1 species
GCGUUCACUGUCUGCCUUAAUG